UACGAAGGGGGCUAGCGUUGCUCGGAAUCACUGGGCGUAAAGGGUGCGUAGGCGGGUCUUUAAGUCAGGGGUGAAAUCCUGGAGCUCAACUCCAGAACUGCCUUUGAUACUGAGGAUCUUGAGUUCGGGAGAGGUGAGUGGAACUGCGAGUGUAGAGGUGAAAUUCGUAGAUAUUCGGAAGAACACCAGUGGCGAAGGCGACUCACUGGACCGGUACUGACGCUGAGGCGCGAAAGCGUGGGGAGCAAACGGG
rnacentral:rRNA from 1 species